AUGAAAAGUGAUACUCCUCCGGUUUGUCUCUGUGAUGCUGCAACCUGGAGACAAGUCAUUUCUGCAGUGAGGCUGUGCAAACAUCAUGUGUUCCUGUGUGGAAAGCAGGGGAGACAGCCAGGAGCAACAGGACACGCUAUAUCCAGCCUCAGAGUCAAAACAGGAAUAAAUGGAAAACACAUUGAAGAGAGGAUUAUGUCCAUAUGGAGGAGGAUUGACAUCCAUUUCCAGACUGGGAAGAUGGAGUUAUACCAGCCAGUUUUCCUUUGGUAAUCCAUCUAAGAUGCCUGUGCAGAUUCAACAGGGUGUUGACCUGGAUCUCUCAGAACAGCUCACGGGGAGGAAAGACCCUCUGACACAAAACCACGUCACUGGAGAGGGAACUGUAAUGUCAGGGAGGGCAUCUGGAAGAUCAAAGUGGGAAUAAACCAAUCACUCCAACCCUAUUAUUUCCGGCC
rnacentral:lncRNA from 1 species